AAUAAAAUCUCACAAAAGUAAUUUAGGAACAUCCAUCUUCGGUUGGCAUGAAAUGUCUACCCUAAACUAAUGUGGCAGGACACUGCAUCUUCCCUAAGCAUGGGUGAUCUUUUAUUAACUUAGUGAUCAUGAAGAACAGUUGUAUAAACAUCAUACUUAAAAUCACCGAAAAUUAAAUAUGAGAUGAAAUAAAAUAUUCAUUAAGAACAAAAUAAAGUUUAUACAACUUCAAGAAUAGAAAUCAAAAAUACAAAACCCUUGGCACUUUGUUAGGGCUGCAUCCAACCCUAGUGAAGAGCUCAGCCUUCCAUGGAAUCGUGGACGACAGCAGCAGCGCAGAGGUCCUUCAUUGUGACUGGCUCUUCUCUUUUCCCUUCCGGCUCUUUCCUCUCCCGUGGGACUCCCUCAGCAUUUCAUUCUUUUUUUUUCUUUUUCCGUGGGAAGUUCUUCCCACAAUACCCCAAAUCCUCUCUUUUCUUUUUACUUCGGUGGGAACUCAGCCUCGGAAGAGAUGCCCCCUGAUCAAAGAAGUCUCUCCUUAUAUAGGCUCGGUAAUCCCCCUGUUUCAUCAUGUGGAUAUGGUCUUCCGAAUGGGAAGAUAAGGACGGCUGAAACGGCUCUGUUUCGCAGACGCGGGCAAGACGCGGAAGAGAGGUUGGACGGCUGAGAUGCUGAUCCGCGAGAGGUUGAUCCACGGCUGCUGCUGGCUGUGAUCCGUGGAUGUGAAACUCGGAACAGUUGAAGCAGGGGAUUCAGUUUCGAUGAAGAAGAGGAAGCUAGGAGGAACGCGUGGAAGAUGCAAACGAAGUUGAUCCGUGGGAGUGGAACCAAUCCAAGCUGGGAGAUGAUCUUAUCCGGAAGAGGAGUUGAUGCCAUUUCAUCGCGGACGAAGAUCUUGGAUGCGGGNN
rnacentral:lncRNA from 1 species